GUGCUAGCUUUGGCAGCAUGUAUACUAAAAUUAGAAUGAUUCAGAGAAGAUUAGCGUGGCCCCUAAGCAAGGAUGACAUGCAAAUUUGUGAAGCAUUCCACAUUUUU